GAUGAAGAACGCAGCGAAAUGCGAUAAGUAAUGUGAAUUGCAGAAUUCAGUGAAUCAUCGAAUCUUUGAACGCACAUUGCGCCCGUCAGUAUUCUGGCGGGCAUGUCUGUUCGAGCGUCAUUACGCCCCUCAAGUCCCCUGUGGACUUGGUGUUGGGGAUCGGCGAGGCUGGUUUUCCAGCACAGCCGUCCCUUAAAUUAAUUGGCGGUCUCGCCGUGGCCCUCCUCUGCGCAGUAGUAAAACACUCGCAACAGGAGCCCGGCGCGGUCCACUGCCGUAAAACCCCCCAACUUUUUAUAGUUGACCUCGAAUCAGGUAGGACUACCCGCUGAACUUAAGCAUAUCAAUAAGCGGAGGA
rnacentral:misc_RNA from 1 species